CCUGUGUUCUGGUCUGUGUAACCACAAGCACUCUUUUACUCUUUUGAUCUAUGACCAGAGUCCUUCACUCCCCUGGCUGCAAGUGCUGUUGUCUGCUAGUGCUCCUCUCCAUCCUGUGACUGUCCCCUCCAGGAUUUCAACCUGGUUCUGCAUACAGGCAAUGAGACAAGAGUCUUACACCCAGAGUCAUCAAAGGGAAGAAAAGGAGCAUCUUGAGAGACCUGGAUACCUAGAAAGAGUCCCUAAAAUGGAAGAUAUAGUUAUGUAAAGAAGAGAGAGGGUAGAAAAAAAAAUCCUACUUCUGCCAGUACAGCUAUCCACUGUACUGCUUCCUGUCUUGUGAGUCCAGGGCCCAAGAGGCCAGAUGGCAAAUUGCUUUGAUAACUUCAGCAUGCUUCCAAUUACAUCAUGCUGAUCAUUUGCAUUGGGUUUUAAAAUCUGGAAUGAAGCUCAAUAUCUCAGAGGAAGUUGAAUGGCCUUUCCCUCACAGUUUAGAGGGCUGCAAGGGCAGGGAUCCAAGGUGAGCAUUACAAAGAUCUAUGCUUUCACAGCCUUGAUUGCA
rnacentral:lncRNA from 1 species